AAGAUGCACUCAAUUGGAAAUCGCUGUAUCUCUGCAGCCCACGAACGAGAAGCUCUCACCGCUGGAAAGGGCAGGGCGCAGAAUGUCCGGUUGUUGCCACUAGGUGCCUCUGCCAGCGCACAGACAGCCGCGGGGCCGCGGAGCGCUUGUCAGCGGCACCAGCAGCGUGAGGGAACGGGCUGUUCCCGGGAGGGGAAGAGCACGGGGAACACGCGCUCCAGAGGAAAAGGUGGGAAGAACACGGCCCGUGCGCGUCCAUUCGUCCUGCCAGCCGAGUCCAUCUCUCUGAAACACCCUGUAACAUUUCGUUAGAUAAUCAUACAAGCAUAAAACGCAGGGACAGUUCUCGGGACAGAGACCAAACACAGCUUUAGCUCCCGGCCUGGCGGUCUCGUCUGCUCUCUCUGACUCUUUUUCUAUGUAAUGCCAUAUUUCAGAAGGAGAGAAGUGGAAAGAAAGAACCAUUCCUUCUCCUUUCUCCUAGACAGACGUGGUGGGGUGAUCUGAAAUGUGCACGUUUCCUGGAGGUGAGGUGAGAAUUGGACCAGCUAUCUGGCUUCUUGAGCAUCUGUUUUAGUCACUGGACUAACAGGGACGCGGCAGAGAAAGCCGCUGCGUGCAGAAGCCCGGCUCUGACAGCACGCGUCACACGGAGAACACUCCCUGGACCGGGCCUUCGCGUGGUGUGGAGAAACACUUAGUCUCUGGAUGACGAUUUGACUUCAGCUGGCUCUUCAUGAGCCACCCACACUGUUCUUAGCUGACCUAGAACAGAAACAGGAUUUUAUGGCAUGUUCUCACUGCAAAAUAAGCCAGAGCCAGAGGGCCGGCUCAGCUUUUGGCGCCCAGUCGCUCACGCCGCGCGGCUGCAGCGCCCGCAGCGCGGGCCCCCGCCUAGCGGCAGUCUGAGGGGGUUUUGCUGCAGCACAGGGCAGCAGCACCCGCUGACGAUGGGCAGGAGAGAUUCUACCAGAACCGGUUCCCUGGCAUUUCGCAGCUGCCUUCUGCGGGUUUUGUGCUCCGAACCACACCGUGCACCCUGACACCACGGCAGGCAGCGUGUGCUCCUGCAGCUUGCAGCCGCUCCGCCUCGGGCAGCCCGAAACGGAGAGGUGCCCGUGCCAGGAAACCCUCGCAUCCUCCAUGUCUUCGGGCUGGAUGGCCCUUAGAUGAAAACCAGCGGAAACCCAGAGUUAUGAGUCAGGUAAUGGGAACGGGUCUGGUCUGCGCUCCGCGGGCUCACGCUGGCACUGUCUCACCUGGACUGGAUGUAGCCAAUGCACCAUCUGAACCAAAGGCCGACCACCAGCAGUCACCGCAGCCACAAGGCAGGGCCUGAAUACACGUACUCUAUAGGGAAAGGGCCUGGAGAAAGGAAAAUAUCACUAUGGAAGUGGGUGAACACUGGAACAUGGGCCCAGAGGGCUGUAAGAUCCUAAAACCCAAAGGCCCUGGACAUCUGGAGAAGGCCGGGAGCGGCUUUGAGCCCCGCAGAGCGCCUGUCCCCGCGGACCUGACACUGACUGUCGACCUCAGGCAGGAGUGCAGCCACACUACAAACUGGAAUAUGUACACGCUAUGCAGAGCAGGGGGUCAGUCUUCUGACAACAUGUCUCUAUGGUGAAUCUCAGGUAUUUUGUGAUAUGAAUUGUGAGUGAAAGGGGGAAGAAGAGGGCGAGCUAAAGAUAAAGGAUCAGAUGUUACAUCCUGCCUGCUCAGCUGCUGGUCCUUAAACUGCUUGCUGCUGUGCAUUCACCAUCAAUAGCAGACAUACUUAUGCCACCGUACUCUGCAAGCAAACAAUCAGUGCGGGCAAGAGUGGCCUAGGUGGGUUCUGUUGGGCAACGUUCAGAACUCGGCAGCUCUUGCAAAUGAAAGGCCAAAGGCAAGUCUCCAGCCAGGCCCCGCGUGACUGUGGAGCGCAGGAUGCGGCCCCACGUUAGCAGUGCUAACCAGGGAUGGGGUCACUGUAGGACAACAGGCAAAACUGAACUCUGCUACAACUGAAUGUCGUGUUGAUAAUGCAGCCUCACCGGUUUUUAUAAACAAAAUUGAACUUAAUUUGCUUCAGAGUAGCUAAGGUGCUGUUAAUUCAAAACCCACAGAGUAACUCACUGGACACAGUUAAUAGUCAGCAGACCACAUAGGCCAGGCUUUGAAAGCAUUUAAUAUUCGCUGAAGUGCUGCUUGUAUCCAAUUAUAACUCACUACUUGCCAUCUUAAUAAUUUAAAUCUGUCCACUCUUUAGAGAGAAAAAAAUGCACUAAUCAAAUACAUGAAUGCACCUUUUGCUUUUGACAGCAUUAAAUUAAAACUAAAUGGUAGAUCUUGAAUGAGUUACUCUGCAAGAAUAAAGGCAUUAAUGAGGUAAUUUCAUUAUAGAGGCUCAUCCAAGCCUAUGUGAAAACAAGGGAAGUAAAUGGAGAGGAAAGCCGCUGAGGAAAUUAGGGUUCCUUCCACACUAAUUAAUGUUUUGGGGCAUUUAGUACAGGCACCAAAUUAACUGCUCCAAAGAACUCCAUUGAGAAAAAAAAUACAUUGUUGCUCUGCCAUGUAAUUAGAAGACAGUACAAGCAGAACACUUAAUGAGUAUAAAGCCAGCCUUUAACUUAUUCUGCCCAGCUUCUGAAAACAUGCCAUUGUGGAGGCCUAAGUUUAAGGAAGCACAAGGCGUACAAUAUAGGAUUGUUUAGGUCCUUCUGUUCGGUGAGCUGUAAACAGGUAGCCCUGAAUGGGGACUCUGGGACUCCUGGGAGGCCCGGCUUCCCAGAAAAAACAAGGUCUUAAAUGCGUCCAGAGGGAAGAAGAAAAGGUGAAUAGGCCCAGCCCGGGCAGCGCCGUGAAUGCGCACCGCUGUCCUAAGCGAUUACAUGAUGUUGUGCCACCCCCUCUCAUUGAGUUAUCUUUACACUGCUUUUGUCUCCUCUAAUUGGAGCUGAUGAGGUGCUAAUUGGUUGCUUUUUAAAAAAAGCACUACUUAAGCACUGGCAAACAGAGUAAGACAGCGUGAGUGGAGUUAAUGAGGGCUUAGCAAAAAAGAAAAACCAAACCAACCAACCAACCAACCUCAAAAAAAUCAUACCAGAGCUAAGACAGCCCAUGCGAAUGUGUGCACCAGCACAUACGGACGUGCCAUCCUGGUGGUGUAAACAAAAACGCGAAGGGAAAUGUCUGAAUGUAGGCGAUGGCUGGGAGGAUUUAGUUGUGUGAGUGAAGGGGCAACGCCGGGCGCAGAUCACGCACGGACAGACGGACGCCCAGCGCUCCGGUCCCGCGGAGGGGCGGGGGCGCCGCGCGGGACCCGCCGCACGGUGCGGAGCUCGGCGGGGCUGCCGGCGGGGCGCGGGCCGGUGGCGCACGGAGGACUCGCUCCGGAGGUGUUCACACGGUCCUGAGGAGGGUGCUGAGGUGAGGUCUGCAGGCUGGCGGGCCGAACCGCCGCUUUGCGACUCGCAGGUGAGCUGCUCGCCAUGGCCCCUUGCUGGCCCAGGGCAAGGCCGGCGCCCUCCGGCGUGACAGCCGGACCUCGCAGAGCCACCCGCCGCGCCGUGGUGGAUGUGGCAUCGCAGCCACACGCAGGUGACAGCUGUGCCUCUGCACCCACAGCCUGCAGGCUGGACUAGGCUGGAAAGGUUUCUAUUUCAAACUCAUAUCUGUGGUGUUAAACCGAGGUCUAGGCUGGUUAGAAAUAGCCCAGACGCCUGUGUCAGGCUGAGCAGCUGCGGUCAGUGGUGCCCGCCAGCAGCAGCAGCGCUCCCGUUUCGGGGCACGCGUGUCCGCGGCAGUGGGUCUGUGUCAGUGCCCGUGCCGUGGGUCACCCCGCGGACACCGCUGGCCGGACCGCCGCGCUCGGCUGUCACCAGGCUCCCCACCCCCCCGCCCCGCCUGCGACCAGCACCGAGCCCAGCAACAGGCCUUUUGUCGCCGGGUUGCUGUCACCUUCCCCAAUGCGUGUGCCGCCGUGAUUUACACGCCAGCAGCAGCAGGUGUUGGGGGACGCUCUCAAUGACCUCAUUUUCAGCACAUGGGCUUGUAUCAAAAAAUAAAUCUGGAAAGCGCUAACUUUAAAAAUGUUUACAUGCUUAGUCUUUUGGUAAUUUUGUGUUUUGAAAAUAUUCUUAAUAUAGUUACUUAAUUUGGGUAUGUAGUUAAUAACUUCGACAACAUUUUCAGUAACAACAUGGAUACAGAAACACCCUGAAUAAUUUGAACCCCAUGAAGAAAAGAAAUAUUUUUUUUUCUUUUUUUUAAUGCUUGGCAUGGUUUUAGCUUUUUAAAAUGAUUUUUUGCCAGCUUUAUGUGAAGUAUUGUGAUUAGAGCGUGUAGUGUUAAACCUGUUGCUACUACAGCUGGAUCCAGAGGUCCUACUUUUGCCAUAACUAUAUACACCUCCUAAAAAAGAUGUUGAGUAACAUUGGGUCCUCUGCAUUUUACGCAUAUCCUGUAGGUGGGUUGAUACUGCCUCCCGCGUUUCUAAACCAAUUCUGAAGUUCCCCACUACUAAAGUACUCGAGUCCUAAAGGAGAGCACAGAAAGCACCUGGGCUAUCGCUGAUGUUGCCUGGCAAUACGCAAAAAUAAUUCUGCAAGCUUUUUGAGAAUGAUAUUGCAAAUGCCUGUGUUCAACAGAGUCUGUGCUGUUGAUGGGUUUCUUUACAUACAGUUUGUUUUAUGCGCAGCUGCAGGGCUCCGUGUUUCACAGGCGGUACGUGGGGACUCGGGGAGCGGCUGCGGGCGGUGACCGCUUCGUCCUCCCCGUCGCGGGCUCAGGACCGCCAGGCAGCUCCCUGAGUCCUUCGGAGCUGCCGAGCAGCUUCCUGUGGACAAGGAGAGGAACGUGCAGUUAAACCUGUAAAACCCACAGUCAGCCUAAGACGACAAUGCACCUUUUAUUAAGACGACUCAGAUGAUCUAUUGAUGCUGAGGAGAAAUAAAGGCUCAGGGCCCUCCCUUUGCUCACUUCUGGGUUGGGUUGGGUUGGUUUUGGCUGUGUAUAACGCAGUUAGAAAAACCAAUUAGUUUGCAAACAACCAGUUACUUGGGUAUGUGUUUAUGCCUGGUAAUUUGUACCCCUAUUGACAUUUUAAACUGGAUUCUUUUCACUCUAACACGUGGUCCCUUGAUUUUCUUUCAGUUGUCAUGAAGAUGGGGGGUUUCUUGCUGGCUGGUAGAAAGAAACUUCCUAGGGAACAAAGUUGCAAUUAAUUCCUCUAAACACGUGUUCCUAGAACCAUCCAUCUAUAAAACAGGCAACAAAACAGAGCUCUUUGCUUUAAGAAGUCACAAAAGAUGCAGAGCUGAAAAAAAAGCUUGGAUCCCUUAAGGCUAAUUGAGCAAAUAUUUUGUUUUUUCUUCUGCGACUGAUGCACUUGACAAUGUUUGUGUGUUCCCAGGGGCAGGCACGCUGUGCCGCCGGGACGCGCGCUCGUCACCGCUGCCCGCGGCGCGCUCGCUGAAUGCUUGCGGGAGGCCGUCCCUCGGGUCUCCUUUGUUUCCCAUGGGAUUAAUAGCUUCUGGUUUACCACAAGGCAGCGUGACGUGAGCUGUGGCAUUGCAUGCUGUGCCUGCCAAGAUGUAAUCCUUAGACGUCUUCUCUUUCCACUUCCUCUUCCAGUUUACCUUUUGCCUUGCUGCUGUUGGGAAAGACGCUUCCCAGGCCCCCUCCCUUCCCAACAAGCACAGCCAAUUGUGCACCCGUUUAAACAGGAAUGACCUUCAUUUUCUGAAGGUGAAGGUAAUCCUGUUCAUAAGGAACAAACAGCAGAGAGGGCUGGGGUCCUUCGCUGGCUCCUGGCAUUCCUGGUCCUGAUGAGCGAUGGCUUCAUUGCUCUGGCUGCUGCGGCUGCAGCUCAGGGGCACAGGCAGCCCUAUCACAUCUAAAUGAGGUAAAGGGGGCACCACUCGCCUGAGCCCAUGGGAUGGCAUAUCUCAUCAGCUGCUGCUAAUGAGGGGAUUAAAGGUGCCUUAAACCAUCUCCUCUUGUUGGUAGGUUUGGGUCUGGAAGCCUUAUCUCUUCCUGCACAAGUGGUGAGUAGUUUAGUGGUUGCAAAGUGCAUGGAGUAGGUGUGUCAGAGGCAAAACCACAUUUGUAGUUACUAUUGUACCUGUUAGAGCGGAAGCAUCUUUGGAUUCCUGCUGGGAUUAGUUCCCGAAUGCAUUUCCAGGCCAUAUCAUCUGCGAGCCUGUGCCAGCGGCUCCUGCCACCAGUGCGCAAUGAAUCUCUCAUCUUUGACCUUGGAGGGAAUUUGGCAGCUGUCCCUGCGUGAGAGGGAGCAGAUGGCCGUGUGCGCUCAGUACCGCGGCACAGCACCGUGUGUGCAAAGUGGGAAGCACCGGAGCCGCUUGUCCACCACUGCUGCCAUCAAACUGUCCCCCGAGAGAGCAGCAGCCCAGGACAGGCAGGUAAGAAAACCUCCCCGCCUUCCCUGUCCCCUGCCUGCUGCUUUGUCUGAAAAUGUCUCCUCUUCAAUAUUCAUCACUCUGGGAAUGUUAAUUCAGCACAAAUUCACUUGCAGUGAUGUUUAAUAGGCGAGUUGUCUCUAAAGGAGGUAAAGUCUGCUUACAAACUUCAUGUGAGGGGAAAAGGUGCAAAGGGUGACAGCAAAGGACUCUAACAUAUACCAGAUAAUCUUUGAAAAUGAAAAAUUACCAUUUCCAAAGGAAAUACCUUAAAAGUAUCACAGAAGGCUCCAAAAAGGCUCCAAGUUUGGAAAGCACCUAUCCUAUGGAAGGGUGGACAGGUUUCUCUCCUGUCCCUUCAAACCCCUUUGCGUGGGCUGCCCAGGGCCGAAGCUGCGGGUGGGUCAGGCCCACGAGCUGCAGCGUUCGUGGCAUGAGGCACCGCGGGCGCAGCCAGCAGCCGCGAGCGCUGUGGUGAUGGUGAUGUGGUGAACCGGACUCGCUGGCUUUAGAGGAAGGCGUAUGAAUUGGGCUGCCUGAAGUAGGUGAGAGCAAAAGAAACGGUGUGCUGUCAGCAAAGCACACAAAGCAACAGGCACCUGAUGUCUGAGUCUCCCCCUGUGCCCACCGGGGCUGUAUCUCACUAGUUAAUGAAGGGCUCACACCUGCGCCACUGCCUCUUCCAAAGCUCAAGCGCAGCAUCAGGCAGGGUGCUGCUGUUAGCGCCGCUCCCUUGGUUUGCGAUGACCGGAAGCUCAUGGGCACAGCAGUAACGAGGAGCACACUAGAGUGCUCAGGAGCCACAGUGCACGCAGCACCAGGCACCAGCUCAGCACGGUCCCGGAAGCAUCAGGUAUGAAUUCUGGGUGAGGCAGUGAGGACUGCGCCGCCUCUGACCGGCUCUGGCACUCGCUGUUGUUGACCCCGGUUUAGAGGGUGCAUCUGGGCGUUCCGAAACAUAGGAGGAAAAGCAAAGAAGUUCUUGCAGUAAGUCAUCACAGCAAUAUGGGAGCACAACCUUUGUUUGUCAAACUCUGCUGAUUAUCAGGAAAAGGAGAUGGAGACUGAGCCUGUACACUGCUUGUAAAGUGUAAAAAUUAAGAUUAUGAGAUUUGCAGGGAAAAAAAAACCAACAUGGAAGAUUCUGGAUCUAAAAUAUUAAUGUUUUAGUAAAUCAGCUUAUGUUUGCUACAUAUGAGCCGGUUGGACAUUUUAUCCGUGCCCGUGAUGUUUGUGUGCUUGCCCUGUCAAAUCUCCAUGAGAUUAGUCCAGAGCCCUAAGGGUGUGCGGCAUCGCAGGCUGCGCCGCUGCCUGGCUCCCCAGCGCGUAAUCCACCGGCCGUUGCGCCCUGGCGGCGCGGCGCGGGCAGCGACCUCCGGCGGGACGGACCGCGGGACGGGCCGAGCGUCCAGCGGGGAGCGCGGCUGUCAGCAGCAGCUUGCGCAGGCAUCGACAGCUUCGCGCUGGGAAGCCGUGAAACCCGUGAACGGUGACUAAAGUAAUUUCAGCGCUAAAAAAAUGGGGUUUGUCGAGCGUCAUUGUUUUGGACUUCUCGUGACCUCACUUAGCAGAACGGCCUCGCUGCCUGUAACCUUUGUCUCCAGUAUUUUCAGCAAUAACUAGCUUUGUAGGCAUUUGUUUUCUAUCAUCAAAUCAUUAAAUGGUAAUGCAAUUGUUAGUUUCAUUUCCCCAGUUCUAAUACAUUUUGCAGCCAGUGACCAUUCCCAGUUCAUUAACUGACUGACCUCAGCAUUAACACCCCCCCUGCUCGGGUUGCCUUGGAAACAAAGCUUCCUGUGCGUAAUCCAAGCUUAUCUAGCUCUUUAUCCUACAUGUGACCCUUAAUUACUUGCUAAAUUAGAAUGGUUUUCUGAAAAUCACAAGAGGAGGUUAAUAUGUUCUUCCAGAGCUGGUCAAGCUAAGAUGACACUAAAUUCACAGGGAAUUCAAAUUACAUGAUCCCUGAAGGCGUCUCUUUCAGAAAGAAGAUGAACUUUCCCAAUGGGAGGCAGUGUGCCAUGAUAAUGCUCCUGUCACUCACUUCCCUUGCCCUGCUUGUCCAGCUACAGCUUAAUCCAGUAUGAACAAUGCAGCAGUGUGUGUGAAGCUUGCAACCUGCUGAGGAAAACUCAUCAGUCCCGCAGGCAAGACCCCAGCACAGAAGGAUCUUCAGUCACCAUCCCACGAUAGCAGAACGUGCCCUUUGGACAAAUGCAGUUCGCGUUCUCCGUCUGCGCCCGGUGUCGUGGCUCCUCCUUGCUGUGUGUUCGGCAGAUGUGCCAGGCCAGCUGUUCACCACAACUGCCGAGUGGAAAUUCCCUUUCUCAGGUCUCCAGGGAACAAAGCUCUGUGUCAGCAAGCCAGUGGAGUGCCUCAGUUUCACAAAGUUCACUGGAACAACGUGAUUUAAUGGUUCUUUUCCACCUGACGCACACACUGCCUCUCUACCGAGCAGCAGCACACUUGGGCACAGAAGAUCCAUUUUCCGAUAUAGGUGUCACAGAAAAGGAGGGGAAAGGCGGCUUGAGGUUGGCAAAAACACCAGUCCGGGAACAAGCAGCUCUCUUCUUUAGGCCCUACAGCAGUUCAUGCUUCUGAACGUUAUCGUUAGUGAUAAGAAUCCCCGAGUUCUGUGUUCUGGAGAUGUCAACGUCUAUAUCACCACUGACGGAGCAUUGUCACCAGAAGUCUAAUGUCUGGUUUAGCAAUUAUGAGCUUCUCCUAGGUAGUCAGACUUUGCAGCAUUUGACUCACUACGCAUACAUUUAAACACAGCCAAUGCAAAAAACACAGUCUGUUUUAGCAUGCCCCUGUCUGUUCUGAAACACAAACCAAUGUGGAUCUGUGUGCAAAUGUUUGCUUUCAUGGAUAUACAUAAAGCUCACAUGCUAAUCAUUCACAUUGAGGUGGGAAGAAACUAGACAGGUAAGUGCAGUCUACCAGUUGUACUGGAGAUUUCUUUUGGUAUAAGAUGUAUUUGUGUUUUACACUUUAGUUACAGAUAGAGUCAUCUGUAUUUCUGCUUAGAAUUCCUGGGUUCAACACAAGAUACCUCAGGUGCUCAUUAGCAUGACAGUGGUCACUGUGGCCUCCUUUGUUUCCUCCCUUUCCCUGCACCCUCCCAACGGGGACUCUUCAGCAAAGGCUCAAAUAUCAGAGGAGGAAGGACAGAUCCCAUACUCUAUAUCCACUCUAUAUCUCACUUCACUGCUGGGACCUCUGGAAAUAUGAUGGCAUUUUUCUAAGAAUAACGACAGAGAAACUGUAUCAUCUACUGCUUGGCGGGAUCUGAGACAGCUGAGGUAUCUAAUUCAUUAUGAUUCUAUGGAAUUCAUCAUUCUGCCAAUGGCUCAUCACCCACGGAAGUAUUUAUGAAGAUACAUUCUAGACGUGUGAGAGAUUAGCAGGUGCUAAGCAAGAACAUAUUUACAUGUUCUUUGGUGUUUCUGCUGAAACUUCCAGCAAAUAUGCUAAUGCUUUCCUAGUGCCUGUCUGUUGGUAACAGGACUGACGCUAGCACAUAUUUUCUCGACUAGAGAAGGCUGUCAGUCCCUGCCAGUCCAAGCAGGUUCCAGGCCAGUAAGCCAUUUUCUGUUCUCUGUUUGCUGAACCAUCAUUUUCCUGUUACCGUAUUUGAAUGAAAACUUAAUUUUCAGGACAGAAUUCAAUACAGUUCUUACAAACAGGAAGUAUUUUUUGUUUUCUCUAGUGAGUUCGUGCAGUCAGAACAACCUGAAGGGACAGUUAGUUCCCUGUCUCAGCUAUAAUGUUCAUAAUCUGGGAGUCUCUGGAUGUUUUCCUGUGUGUCCCAGUGGAUUGCAGGGCAGCUUUCUAUGCCUGGAAAGACGACUUUUAAAUAAGUGAGUUUCUGUUUUCAAAUGAGGUUUUAAAAAUCGUCCGUGCACAAUUGCUAAUGUAGCCAAGUAAUCACGCUAAAAUCUUUGGAUGCCACCAGAUCCUUGAAAGCCGCCUGGGCUUUACCGUGAGCACGCGUGCUGAGCGGUGUCUGUGGCAGGGGUCGCGCCUCCUCACACAGAAGGUACCUCAGCGCCACCGCGGUGAUCUCGGCACUGGGCAUCGCACCCCACAUGGGCUUCGACGAAGACUUUAAUGCAGUUUGCACUGCACGGGGGCUUCGCAGACAGAUACAGUUACACACGUGUUCAUGUGUGUGUGUCAAACUUCCUUGGCAUUAAUCAAACCUUAUGUGGUUUGAUUAAUCAAAACCAAGAAGGAUGAGUUUAACAGUGAAAGUGCAAGGGCCACAAAGGGAAGCGAUGAAGAAAAGUGGUGAUUUGCUGUCUUUUAAAAUCAAAUGUUUUGAAGUUUGAUAUCCCCAGACUUUUCACCACUUAGCCAAUGUAAGUUUAAAAUAGAUAUUUAUACAUGUGCAAGUUUGUAUGUGUGCAUGUAUAUAUGCACAUACAAUUUGAUGAGUUCAUCUUUGUCUUCAUCUGAGGGAAACGAGUGGCUGAACUGGCAGAGCCAUUCCGUACAGAGCGAUUACACAAACUGAACCGAGUUUUACUCUUUGACGUUAUGGUAAUUAAGAAACAACCAUAUAGUGAUCUAUCUGGGAAACCUUGUUCCUCGGCUAUGGAGUGCUGGCAAGUACUCAGGAGAUUUCAUGCUUGGUGACAUUUAUGAAACACCUACAAAGUAUCAUAUAAAACAGGCACAAUCAGUCAAAUGACAGAAGAGUUGAUAGCAAGUUUGAUGUACACAAAAGUAGUUUUAUUUUACCUACUACUAAGUUGAGACAAUUUAAUGUAACAUUGUGAAGUUAUGCAGUACAGCGUCUGUCCUCUUAAGCCGUGUGUUGCUUCUAUGCUGGUGCCUCUAGGUGGUAAGAGGAGGUUUGUUUCAGGGCUAGUGCUUUUGGUUUUCUAGUCUCUCUCAGUGGGGUUCAGCUAUUUUAUUGCCAUGAAAAGUUCCAAGAUUACUGCCGAUGCAUGCGUGAAGUAGACAGGAUAGGGCUUCGUGCUGCUCUGCCUGGACCUCUGACGCACGCACCGUUCUGUCCUCCUCCGGUGAUUGCAGCACACUGUGUUGAUCCAGUGUUCUAGAGUUCUACCUGGAAAACUUCUUUCUGGAUCGUUAAAGCCAAGUAGCUGAGUUUUCUGUGCCUACUUAGCGGCUAAGGAGAGACCCCCAGCUCCCUGAACAUCUCACAGGUGUACUCUAAGAAACCCAAAUAUAUUCUUAAAUUGCUUAGAGGUAUUUUAGAACAUAGUUGGAUGGAAGAUACUGUACAAAACAAAACAUCAGGUAGUUCUUUCUCUACAUUAACGAGUAUUAAAUUAUCAAGAAUACUCAAGAUACUCAUGUUCUUCUAAAAUGUAUUUCAGAAAUAUUUUGCUUGCAUGUGUCAUCUGAUCCACAUAUUUGCUCAUUCCCGUGCACAACUGAGAACGAGGAUGUACCUUUCCCAGCGAAUACGUACGGUUUUACUGUCAUCCAUGCUGAAGUAGGUGUGCCAUUUUAAAUAAAGGACUGCACCCCGCA